rnacentral:rRNA from 1 species
AACUGGUGUGAAUUGCAGAAUUCCGUGAACCAUCGAGUUUUUGAACGCAAGUUGCGCCCGAAGCCAUUCGGUCGAGGGCACGCCUGCCUGGGCGUCACACAUCGUUGUCCCUCAUCUCAGACUCGUCGCAUCUCGUCAUGCGGGUGUGCGAGUCAGAGUUGGGCGGGCGGAUAAUGGUCUCCCGUCGGCUCUGCCUUGCGGUUGGCUUAAAUUUGAUUCCUAUCUCGCGAGCGUCGCGGCGUUUGCUGGUGUACGAUAAAAGUCGUUAUCCUGCCACAGCUGCUCGCCUGACAAACGAAAUCCUACAAACCCCAGCGCGUCUCCCCCUUAAGGUCGACGCUUUCGACGGGACCCCAGGUCAGGCGGGACCACCCGCUGAAUUUAAGCAUAUCAAUAAGCGGAGGAAAAGAAACUUACGAGGAUUCCCUUAGUAACGGCGAGCGAACCGGGAGCAGCCCAGGUUGAGAAUCGAGCGCCCUCGGCGGUCGAAUUGUAGUCUGGAAAAAGCGUCAAA